rnacentral:rRNA from 1 species
UACGGGGGGGGCAAGCGUUGUUCGGAUUUACUGGGCGUAAAGGGCGCGUAGGCGGUGUGGUAAGUCACUUGUGAAAUCUCUGAGCUUAACUCAGAACGGCCAAGUGAUACUGCUGUGCUAGAGUGCAGAAGGGGCAAUCGGAAUUCUUGGUGUAGCGGUGAAAUGCGUAGAUAUCAAGAGGAAGACCAGUGGCGAAGGCGGGUCUCUGGACAGUUCCUGACGGCUGAGGCAACGAAGGCCCAGGGGAGCAAACGGG